rnacentral:lncRNA from 1 species
AGUUCCUUUCUCAGUAGAUUUUUCUUUCUUUUUUAAAAGAGGUGGUUGGCAAUUUAGGAUUCAUCUGGGUCUGUCCUGGUAAAGUCCUGCUGUGCAGAUGACUGCUGUCUCCUGGGAAGGUCUCGGCACGGAGCUCUCGAGGCUGUGCAGACCUGCUCGUGGAGGGCUUAGGCUGUCUUAGGUGCACACUUGCACGGUCUCCAUGGCCUCCGUGAGCAUCUUUGUAGCUAGCAAUGAGGAAGUGCAGGUGUCUACAGGCCAUCACGUGGGGAGGCGCACCAGGCGACAGAGGAUGUGGUGGCCUUCCUCCUAGGACUGAUUGGCGUCGCCGUCCUAACCCAGCUGUGGAGUUUUUGUAUGAUUUGAUUUGGGGUUUUGCUGUAUUUUUGUUUGGUUUGGUUUGGUUUGGUUUGGUAUGGUUUGUUUGGGGUUUUUUUGUUGUUGUUGGUUUUUGUUUUUGUUUUCGUUUUUGCAUGAAUCGCGAUAUUUUGUACUUUUAAAAACUCCAACUUCCACAAAACAACUCAAGGCCUCCAAGUAUCAAGAUGUCCUGAAAUUUUUUUUUUUUUAGCAGAAUCUGAAAUUAGAUUUUGUACACUCCCUGGAAUGUAAUUGUUAACAUUCUUACAUUUGGGCCUCUUCACACACCGUCUGCCUGCCUGCUUCCUUCUGAGAAUAUUUUCCCAGUAUCUCCAGGCCUUCCUUAGUCUGUCCCACCGUGCAUCUGCUUACCUCAUGGCGCUGUUUGUUUCAGAUUUUGAAAGCUCACAGGUGUUUGUUGGAAUCAUUUGCCGAGUCAUUUCCUCAAAUCAUAUUCCAUUGUGUCAGUUAACAUAGAGUUUUAAAUGUAUGUAUUAUAAAUACCUGUAACCAAAAUCAUUUGAAGGCUUGAUAAAUUUUUAACAAAGUUUGUACAUUUUUUAUGAAAGUUACUAGUAAUGCUUUACUAAGUAGUGCAAUGAAUUUUUAUUUUUAAUCCCUGUGCCCAAUUUUGGAGUUUGAGAGGGUUGUUGGUAAUAAAUGUAUGAUGUACACU